rnacentral:rRNA from 1 species
GACGUAGGGCGCGAGCGUUGUCCGGAUUAUUGGGCGUAAAGAGCUCGUAGGCGGCUUGUCGCGUCGACUGUGAAAUCCCGCGGCUCAACUGCGGGUCUGCAGUCGAUACGGGCAGGCUAGGGUUCGGUAGGGGAGACUGGAAUUCCUGGUGUAGCGGUGAAGUGCGCAGAUAGUCAGGAGGAACACCGGUGGCGAAGGCGGGUCUCUGG